rnacentral:tRNA from 34 species
GGGUCGUUAGCUCAGUUGGUAGAGCAGUUGACUUUUAAUCAAUUGGUCGCAGGUUCGAAUCCUGCACGACCC